GGGAUUUUUUUCUGUUAGGGUAACUUGCGGAGGGAUCAUUACACAAAUAUGAAGGCGGGCUGGAACCUCUCGGGGUUACAGCCUUGCUGAAUUAUUCACCCUUGUCUUUUGCGUACUUCUUGUUUCCUUGGUGGGUUCGCCCACCACUAGGACAAACAUAAACCUUUUGUAAUUGCAAUCAGCGUCAGUAACAAAUUAAUAAUUACAACUUUCAACAACGGAUCUCUUGGUUCUGGCAUCGAUGAAGAACGCAGCGAAAUGCGAUAAGUAGUGUGAAUUGCAGAAUUCAGUGAAUCAUCGAAUCUUUGAACGCACAUUGCGCCCUUUGGUAUUCCAAAGGGCAUGCCUGUUCGAGCGUCAUUUGUACCCUCAAGCUUUGCUUGGUGUUGGGCGUCUUGUCUCUAGCUUUGCUGGAGACUCGCCUUAAAGUAAUUGGCAGCCGGCCUACUGGUUUCGGAGCGCAGCACAAGUCGCACUCUCUAUCAGCAAAGGUCUAGCAUCCAUUAAGCCUUUUUUUCAACUUUUGACCUCGGAUCAGGUAGGGAUACCCGCUGAACUUAAGCAUAUCAAUAAGCGGAGAAA
rnacentral:rRNA from 1 species